rnacentral:rRNA from 1 species
CUGUAAUUGGAAUGAGUACACUUUAAAUCCUUUAACAAGGACCUAUUGGAGGGCAAGUCUGGUGCCAGCAGCCGCGGUAACUCCAGCUCCAAUAGCGUAUAUUAAAGUUGUUGCGGUUAAAACGUUCGUAGUUGAACUUGUGCUUCAUACGGGUAGUACAUCUAUAAUUGUAGCUUGUACUUAACCUUAUGUAUGUAAGCGUAUUACCGGUGGAGUUCUUAUAUGCAAAUACUUUAUUUUCCUCCUAUCUAAACCUGCUUCAGUGCUCUUCAUCGAGUGUUGUUGUGGGCCGGUACAAUUACUUUGAACAAAUUAGAGUGCUUAAAGCAGGCUCCAAAUGCCUGAAUAUUUUGUGCAUGGAAUAAUGAAAUAAGACCUCUGUUCUACUUUCAUUGGUUUAUAGAUCAAGAGGUAAUGAUUAAUAGAAGCAGUUUGGGGGCAUUAGUAUUACGACGCGAGAGGUGAAAUUCUUGGACCGUCGUAAGACUAACUUAAGCGAAAGCAUUUGCCAAAGAUGUUUUCAUUAAUCAAGAACGAAAGUUAGAGGUUCGAAGGCGAUCAGAUACCGCCCUAGUUCUAACCAUAAACGAUGCCAGCUAGCAAUUGGGUGUAGCUACUAUCAUGGCUCUCUCAGUCGCUUCCCGGGAAACCAAAGCUUUUGGGCUCCGGGGGAAGUAUGGUUGCAAAGCUGAAACUUAAAGGAAUUGACGGAAGGGCACCACCAGGAGUGGA